rnacentral:rRNA from 1 species
GGGGAUAACUACUGGAAACGGUAGCUAAUACCGCAUAACGUCGCAAGACCAAAGAGGGGGACCUUCGGGCCUCUUGCCAUCGGAUGUGCCCAGAUGGGAUUAGCUUGUUGGUGGGGUAACGGCUCGCCAAGGCGACGAUCCCUAGCUGGUCUGAGAGGAUGACCAGCCACACUGGAACUGAGACACGGUCCAGACUCCUACGGGAGGCAGCAGUGGGGAAUAUUGCACAAUGGGCGCAAGCCUGAUGCAGCCAUGCCGCGUGUAUGAAGAAGGCCUUCGGGUUGUAAAGUACUUUCAGCGGGGAGGAAGGGAGUAAAGUUAAUACCUUUGCUCAUUGACGUUACCCGCAGAAGAAGCACCGGCUAACUCCGUGCCAGCAGCCGCGGUAAUACGGAGGGUGCAAGCGUUAAUCGGAAUUACUGGGCGUAAAGCGCACGCAGGCGGUUUGUUAAGUCAGAUGUGAAAUCCCCGGGCUCAACCUGGGAACUGCAUCUGAUACUGGCAAGCUUGAGUCUCGUAGAGGGGGGUAGAAUUCCAGGUGUAGCGGUGAAAUGCGUAGAGAUCUGGAGGAAUACCGGUGGCGAAGGCGGCCCCCUGGACGAAGACUGACGCUCAGGUGCGAAAGCGUGGGGAGCAAACAGGAUUAGAUACCCU